GAUAACUAGCUUGUGGUGGCCAAGAGUUCAUAGCGACGUUGCUUUUUGGUCCUUCAAUGUUGGCUCUUCCUAUCAUUGUGAAACAGAAUUCACCAAGCAUUGGAUUGUUCUCCCAGUAAUAGGGAAUGUGAGCUGGGAUUAGACUGUCAUGAGGUAAGGUU
rnacentral:ncRNA from 1 species